UAGGGAAUCUUCGGCAAUGGACGAAAGUCUGACCGAGCAACGCCGCGUGAGUGAAGAAGGUUUUCGGAUCGUAAAACUCUGUUGUUAGAGAAGAACAAGGACGUUAGUAACUGAACGUCCCCUGACGGUAUCUAACCAGAAAGCCACGGCUAACUACGUGCCAGCAGCCGCGGUAAUACGUAGGUGGCAAGCGUUGUCCGGAUUUAUUGGGCGUAAAGCGAGCGCAGGCGGUUUCUUAAGUCUGAUGUGAAAGCCCCCGGCUCAACCGGGGAGGGUCAUUGGAAACUGGGAGACUUGAGUGCAGAAGAGGAGAGGGGAAUUCCAUGUGUAGCGGUGAAAUGCGUAGAUAUAUGGAGGAACACCAGUGGCGAAGGCGGCUCUCUGGUCUGUAACUGACGCUGAGGCUCGAAAGCGUGGGGAGCAAACAGG
rnacentral:rRNA from 2 species